rnacentral:rRNA from 1 species
AGCGGAGGAAAAGAAACCAACAGGGAUUGCCUCAGUAACGGCGAGUGAAGCGGCAACAGCUCAAAUUUGAAAUCUGGCGGCCUCUGGGCCGUCCGAGUUGUAAUUUGAAGAGGAUGCUUUUGGCGAGGUGCCUUCCGAGUGCCCUGGAACGGGACGCCACAGAGGGUGAGAGCCCCGUAUGGUUGGACGCCGAGCCUCUGUAAAGCUCCUUCGACGAGUCGAGUAGUUUGGGAAUGCUGCUCAAAAUGGGAGGUAAACCCCUUCUAAAGCUAAAUACUGGCCAGAGACCGAUAGCGCACAAGUAGAGUGAUCGAAAGAUGAAAAGCACUUUGAAAAGAGAGUUAAACAGCACGUGAAAUUGUUGAAAGGGAAGCGCUUGCGACCAGACUUGUGCUCGUCGAAUCAGCCGCCGCUCGUCGGCGGCGCACUUCGGCGGGCUCAGGCCAGCAUCAGUUCGCUGCAGGGGGAGAAAGGCGAUGGGAAUGUGGCUCUUCGGAGUGUUAUAGCCCGCCGCGCAAUACCCCUCGGCGGACUGAGGACCGCGCAUCUGCAAGGAUGCUGGCGUAAUGGUCGUCAGCGACCCGUCUUGA